rnacentral:lncRNA from 1 species
AAAAGUCACAGGUGUUCCCAUUUCAACUUCACAUUUCGCUCAGUCCCAAUAGUGAGCUGUAUAAAAACAGCUGUGCUUUUCUUCUAGUUCAGUUAACCCAAACAGUGCCGAAAACGUUCGUGAGUGCUCCAGACGCAAACAUGUUUGCGAAGGAGAUUUUAAUUUUCACACUCGUGGGUUUUGUGUUCUCACAGCCUGAUCCUGUGGAAGACCCAACGGUCCCACCUUCAACCAAUGGCAUCGCCCGGCUGGCGUCUAGCUCAGUGAAGGGGGUGGGCACCCUACUGGACAGCGGGGCGCACGCGACGGCCUCCGGGGUGGAACUGACGACCAACUCGAUGGCGAACGGGGUGAAGACGCUGGGCGGCGCCGCCGACCUGGCCAACAACGUCCAGCAGAUGAAGUUCGACGCCUUGCGGCAAGCCCGCCACGCGGCCGGUCGCUUCGGGGCGUCCCUCGCGGACUUGAGCAUGGGCGCCCUCACCGGGAUCCUGCGCAGGGGCGCUGAGGCCGUCGAUGCUACCAGGCGCGCUACUGAAUUCGUUCUCGGUGAAUCGGAUAAAGUCCAUGGUGCCAGCAAGAGAGUCGCCAAGUCCCUCGUGUCCAAUACGUCUGGCAGUUUCGUGAAUGUCCUCAACGGGGUUGGCAAUGUCGUCGAUAAGGGUGGAGAAGUCCGCGAAGAGGUUGCCGAUACUGCAGGAGCCAUCCACGAUGCCAGCACCGAUUUGGUGAAAGAGGGGGUGCGAACUUGGAAAGACCUUGGUCUAUCGUCGAUUGGAAGCAUUAAAGCGGGCAUGCAGGAGGCGAGGAAAAGGGCUAGAGGAGGACAACUCCCAGAUUCAACCACGAAUCCAUCUCCGUCGCCAACACCAGUGAAAGAAGAGCCGAAAAAACCAGCAGAAGAAACCAAACCGAAACCAGGAGGUUGGUUCGGAUGGUGAACGAGAUAUUCCAAUUUGAUCAAGUCGAUUUUUCGAAAUCUGUUCGGGAGUUUUUAAAAAAUGCGGCGCUUUUUUUACCUGCUUCGCCUUGCAGGCAAUACUACAUUAUCUUCAAGCAUGACGAGGAGGGGGGAACAUAAUUAAGAGCAAUACAUACUUCAAAUUCAUGCAUCUUCAAAUUUUCUGUGCAGUUGAGAUAAAAUAAAAAUGUUAAAUUUUUCCCUCUUUUUUUAUCGAAUAAAUAGAAUAAAUUCACAUUUUUUGGUUAACUGUAACAUUAUUAUAUAUUUAGGGUAGACAAUCGGUUUGCCAAGUUUAACUGAGUCGCACCAACAAUCCUCGCAUUUUGGGAAAGAAAGUGAGUUUGGAGUACUUUUGAAUUCUAGUCGUGCAUUAUGUCCCGUUAAAAAUUCAAAGUUGUAAAAAGUUGAGAGAGAAAAAAGUUUUUAAAAUUUGUCUUUCACGUCGAGUUCCAUGGAGGAAGAAAACUUCAAACAUAUUUUUCUCGGUGAAAACUUGAUCUGCAACUUGGUGUGUUUCUGUUAAACUCGGUCCACUUGAUGUCUCAAAGGAAGUUCCUAAAAUGUAUAUAACUAUAAAUUUACUAAUGAAGUUACUGUACAAUGAUUUAUAAAUUGUCACGAGUUUUCUAUUUUCCAUGUGUUCCCUUCUUUUAAGCUUAUGCCACUUUUGAGACUUUUCAAAAUCUCUUCUCAGAGCGGAUAUGGAAAAAAGUAUUGUAAUUUCAAAUAUAUUCUUGGAUAAUUUUGGUGUCAGCUAUUGGCACAGUUUCACCAGCCAGAACUAUGAUUGCUAUGUGCUACCACAUUUCUGUCUGACCAAACCAUACUUCUAGCUAAUGCAAGUAGACGCCUAUUUGGCGCCAAUAUCAAUCCAAAGUGUAGUCGAAAUUACCGUAAAUUCUUACCGUGAAGGCUUUUUUCGCAGUGGACAGUCACGUACCGAGCGUAAAUUCAGAAAGUAUGCACUGCCAUGCUAAAAAGAACACCGUGCGAGCCAUGAGGCGUUGCCACAUUUCCCUGACAAAUCGAAAAUACCCAGAAAAAUGUGUAAAUAUUUCACUUCCGAUUUUUCGGGGGAUUUGGUUCUUAAAUUGAUGUAAAAAGUCUGAAAUUUUAAAGGAAAAUAUUCAUAACAUUCUUUUAAAAUAAAUAUUUUCUUAGAGGAGAUUUCUAAAAAUCGAAUGCUCGUGCGGCAUUUCUACUUAGCACGGCAGUGUAGAUGGACGUAUUUCUAUCAAACGGAACUAUGUGCAUUCACACAUGAGCCCUGAGACCCAUAAGAAUAUGUUCGUAACAGGGCUCACGUCAUAAUGCACAUAGUUGCGUUUGAUAGAAAUACGUCCAAUUGUUUGCGCGCUCAUCUCUGAGGUAUUCAAGAAACUGGUUCGUUUUUGCCCACUUGGUGACGUUGCGGUGCUGAUGGCGCAACGCAGGAAAGUUUGACUCGUGAAAUUUUAAACUAUCGAACAUUGCUCCCAUAUCAGUAUGAAAAGGUCAAUUGGGUCAGCUUUUUGACGUUAUGAUGGUGCGAUGCGGCGGUUCGUUCGGUGCCGCCAUAGACGUCCGCGAAUGGCAGAUCGCGAACUUCCUGGAGGGCUCUUUGACUGGUUCGGACGGCCGUAACGGUCAGCCAGGCACUUGUUCUAAAGAAUUUCGACCUGAAAUGUCCCGCUCUUUAUGGCUGACACUAUUUUUUAUGUGAUUGAAUCAUAUAUUUACUACCUUAGCAUAAGACUGAAAUGCCAAACUUCCGCAUGAAUGACUUGAAAUAAGGCGUAAAGUUCCGUGAAUAUGUUUUAAAACUAAAGGCUACAAACUUUGAUUUUCAAUACUCCGCAUUAAAAAAUCCCCUACUGUUGUCUGCUGUAUAACAAAAUUCCUUUCAGAAAUUGCUAAUUUUUUAAAGUAAGAUCAUAGUAAAAUAAUGGUAAAUCUAGACCGAUGCGGAUCUAGCGAUUUGGCAACACCGGAUUUCCUCCUUUUCAAUCUAUGUUAAAUCAAUUUUUAUUAGAGCACCAGGCCCCUCCAAGAAUCGAUACAUUUCCAUAGGUUUGAAUGGAGUAAAAACGAAGUUUCUGAUUUGCUAGGUCCGCCAAUUAUUAUAAGUCAUUAUAAGUCAACGGAUUUCGUCACCUUCUGGACCUGAGGGCCAUGCGACAUUUCAAAAUUUCCGCCGCAAUUUUAUUUUUUUACAGAGAAACUGUGCAACGAAGUUGCCAGAAAAUUUCACUGAAUUUGUUUUUUACCGCCGACAAAAUUCCGGGAAAUUUUCAAACAGAUUCAACCAGCAAUUUCUUAGUAAAAAGAAGAAAUGACGGACAUUGUGAAACGUCACAUGGCACUUGUGAUAUUUUGGCCGGAUGGUGACGAUAUCGGAAUUUUGAAUCAAUUUUGCUGAAUGACUAGUUUAAUUUUUGUAAGAUUUUGGCAAAACAGAUCUAUUAUGGAUACAAAUACAAUUCAGCCGUUUACCCCCGAAGCAUUGUUUUGAAUCUUAGUUGAGUGCGAAAAAAACCCCAAGUUAUUGGGCGCUUCUGGGUACCAGAUGCGCCCUUUCCAACCGUUCGACUCCCCCGAUGUAACAUGUACUAUACUACAUGCCCUUUUGCCUUAUGGGUAAUGACGCCAUUCUGGUACACCCGGUAAAAUUGGUAUUUUUUUCUGCAUCUGGUAUUCAUAAAAGUCUUCGUGAAAUGUUUUGUUUUUAAGCAUAACAAUCUCGCACGGACGUAUUACCUGGUUAAACUAUUUUAAGGCUUCGUUAUGCUUAAAUGCCUCAUAUUCGAGGCUGUACUUUCAGAUUGAUUCGAAAAAAUCAUGAACCGUCACGUGAUUUCUUCAUUUUAGUGACGUAUGUAUCCAAUCGCCUUCCUUUGCUUCCUUGUUGCUCUUGAGAAGCCGCCAUUAUCCCACUUCAAAUUUUAAAAAUAAAAAUUAAGGAAUAAUAACCAUCGUACAAAGUUGAAAACUGCUCUGGAGGACUCUGUACGGAUAAAGGAGCCAAAAUCAGAACUCGAUUGAUUGAUUUAAUUCAUGAAUACGCAAAUAUUACCUCAGCUCAAUUGCGCGAGCGCAAAUGCAUGCUGGGAUGAACCUCGAGACACAUGAAAGCAUAGCCUACCUAUGGCUCAUACAGGAAUGCGCUUACUCCGUGCUGUCAUAUCACGGGAGCUUCGACGCGUCCAAAAUGACAGCCUUCUGCGAUGGGCGGGGCUCGUCCCUGACAACCAGACUCUGUUAAAUACUGUACAUUCUGCCCUAACUCUCAAGUGACUGGCUGGCUCAGUUGUCUAGAUCAUCUACCAUUAUCAGCCGGCUUAGCCCGCUGCGAGAGCGGGUGUUCGAAUCCCGGCGGGGCCGGCAAAUUUUUAUCGAUUAUAUUGAAUGUUUUAGACCAGUCAUUAAAACAUAAUUGAAAAUAAUUAAUACUCUAUAAAAAAUGUACAAACAUUUCCUCGUGAGUUAAUAUGUUAAACAAAAAUACUGGAAUAUACCUCCUUCAUACAAUCAGCCACAUUUUCACCCAAAUUAAUGAUGUUAUUUUCUUUUUUCAAUAAAGUUAAUUUGUAUUCAACGUUCGUGAAUUGUUAUGUUUUUCUAAAUUUAGCAAAAAGUAACUAUUGAUACAAAUAGAAAGACAUGAAAAUAGUAUGUCUAACAUUUCAGUUGUUUUUUCGCCGCCCCUCGCAGUGUAAAAGAAGCGCCCUUCAACGCUUUGGCGUUGGAACUGCUUGUUUUUUUUUCUACGGUUUAAUUUGAUGGCAUUGAAAACAUAAAAAGAAAAUU